rnacentral:rRNA from 1 species
UGGGGAAUAUUGCACAAUGGGGGAAACCCUGAUGCAGCGACGCCGCGUGAGCGAAGAAGGCCUUCGGGUCGUAAAGCUCUUUUAUGAGGGAAGAUAAUGACGGUACCUCAAGAAAAAGCCCCGGCUAACUACGUGCCAGCAGCCGCGGUAAUACGUAGGGGGCUAGCGUUGUCCGGAAUCACUGGGCGUAAAGGGUUCGCAGGCGGAAUAACAAGUCAGAUGUGAAAGCCCACGGCUCAACCGUGGAGGGUCAUUGGAAACUAAUAAACUUGAGUGCAGGAGAGAAAAGUGGAAUUCCUGUGUAGCGGUGAAAUGCGUAGAGAUUAGGAGGAACACCGGUGGCGAAAGCGGCUUUUUGGCCUGCAACUGACACUGAGGCGCGAAAGCGUGGGGAGCAAACAGG